rnacentral:sRNA from 1 species
AACCAUCGGGGGGCCCGAGCUGGCGAC